UGGGGAAUAUUGCGCAAUGGGCGAAAGCCUGACGCAGCCACGCCGCGUGAGCGAUGAAGGUCUUAGGAUCGUAAAGCUCUGUGGAGGGAGAAGAAUAAAGGCAGUGAAGAGCUGCCCCUGACGGUAUCCCUUUAGCAAGCACCGGCUAACUCCGUGCCAGCAGCCGCGGUAAUACGGAGGGUGCAAACGUUGCUCGGAAUCAUUGGGCGUAAAGCGCACGUAGGCGGCUUGCCAAGUUGGGUGUGAAAGCCCUGGGCUCAACCCAGGAAGUGCACCCAAAACUGGUAGGCUUGAGUUCCAGAGGGGACCAGGGAAUUCCCGGUGUAGAGGUGAAAUUCGUAGAGAUCGGGAGGAACACCAGAGGCGAAGGCGCUGGUCUGGCUGGAUACUGACGCUGAGGUGCGAAAGUGUGGGUAGCAAACAGG
rnacentral:rRNA from 1 species